UGGCGACGAGUGGCGAACGGGUGAGUAAUAUAUCGGAACGUGCCCAGUCGUGGGGGAUAACUGCUCGAAAGAGCAGCUAAUACCGCAUACGACCUGAGGGUGAAAGCGGGGGAUCUUCGGACCUCGCGCGAUUGGAGCGGCCGAUAUCAGAUUAGGUAGUUGGUGGGGUAAAGGCCUACCAAGCCGACGAUCUGUAGCUGGUCUGAGAGGACGACCAGCUACACUGGGACUGAGACACGGCCCAGACUCCUACGGGAGGCAGCAGUGGGGAAUUUUGGACAAUGGGGGCAACCCUGAUCCAGCCAUGCCGCGUGCGGGAAGAAGGCCUUCGGGUUGUAAACCGCUUUUGUCAGGGAAGAAAUCCUUUGGGCUAAUAACUCGGAGGGAUGACGGUACCUGAAGAAUAAGCACCGGCUAACUACGUGCCAGCAGCCGCGGUAAUACGUAGGGUGCAAGCGUUAAUCGGAAUUACUGGGCGUAAAGCGUGCGCAGGCGGUUAUGCAAGACAGAUGUGAAAUCCCCGGGCUCAACCUGGGAACUGCAUUUGUGACUGCAUGGCUAGAGUACGGUAGAGGGGGAUGGAAUUCCGCGUGUAGCAGUGAAAUGCGUAGAUAUGCGGAGGAACACCGAUGGCGAAGGCAAUCCCCUGGACCUGUACUGACGCUCAUGCACGAAAGCGUGGGGAGCAAACAGGAUUA
rnacentral:rRNA from 1 species